GAACGCUGGCGGCAUGCCUUACACAUGCAAGUCGAACGGCAGCGCGGGCUUCGGCCUGGCGGCGAGUGGCGAACGGGUGAGUAAUACAUCGGAACGUGCCCUAGAGUGGGGGAUAACUAGUCGAAAGAUUAGCUAAUACCGCAUACGAUCUACGGAUGAAAUGGGGGACCGCAAGGCCUCAUGCUCCUGGAGCGGCCGAUGUCUGAUUAGCUAGUUGGUGGGGUAAGAGCCUACCAAGGCGACGAUCAGUAGCUGGUCUGAGAGGACGACCAGCCACACUGGGACUGAGACACGGCCCAGACUCCUACGGGAGGCAGCAGUGGGGAAUUUUGGACAAUGGGGGCAACCCUGAUCCAGCAAUGCCGCGUGUGUGAAGAAGGCCUUCGGGUUGUAAAGCACUUUUGUCAGGAACGAAACGGUGGGGGCUAAUAUCCUCUGCUAAUGACGGUACCUGAAGAAUAAGCACCGGCUAACUACGUG
rnacentral:rRNA from 1 species